rnacentral:rRNA from 1 species
UCAAAGANUAANCCAUGCAUGUCUAAGUAUAAAUGCUUCUAUACUGUGAAACUGCGAAUGGCUCAUUAAAUCAGUUAUAGUUUAUUUGAUGGUUCCUUACCACUUGGAUAUCCGUGGCAAUUCUAGAGCUAAUACAUGCAGAAAGUCCCGACUUCCGGAAGGGAUGUAUUUAUUAGAUCCAAAACCAGCGCGAGUCCUCCGGGGCUCGGUUUGUUGGUGAUUCAUGAUAACUUCUCGAACCGUAUGGCCCUCGUGCCGACGGUGCUUCAUUCAAAUUUCUGCCCUAUCAACUUUCGAUGGUACGGUAGUGGCCUACCAUGGUUGCAACGGGUGACGGAGAAUUAGGGUUCGAUUCCGGAGAGGGAGCCUGAGAAACGGCUACCACUUCCAAGGAAGGCAGCAGGCGCGCAAAUUACCCAAUCCCGACUCGGGGAGGUAGUGACAAUAAAUAACAAUGCCGGGCUAUCGUAGUCUGGCAAUUGGAAUGAGUACAAUCUAAACCCCUUAACGAGGAACAAUUGGAGGGCAAGUCUGGUGCCAGCAGCCGCGGUAAUUCCAGCUCCAAUAGCGUAUAUUAAAGUUGUUGCAGUUAAA